rnacentral:rRNA from 1 species
AUUGAACGCUGGCGGCAGGCCUAACACAUGCAAGUCGAGCGGAGCGGCGGACGGGUGAGUAAUGACUAGGUAUCUGCCUGGUAGAGGGGGAUAACGUCCGGAAACGGGCGCUAAUACCGCAUAGUAUCCGAUGAGCCUAGGUCGGAUUAGCUAGUUGGUGGGGUAAAGGCCUACCAAGGCGAAGAUCCGUAACCGGUCUGAGAGGAUGAGCAGUCACACUGGAACUGAGACACGGUCCAGACUCCUUCGGGAGGCAGCAGUGGGGAUUAUGGGGCAAUGGGCGAAAGCCUUAUUCAGCCAUGCCGCGUGUGUGAAGAAGGUCUUCGGAUUGUAAAGCACUUUAAGUUGGGAGGCGUUACCAACAGAAUAAGCACCGGCUAACUUCGUGCCAGCAGCCGCGGUAAUAC